rnacentral:rRNA from 1 species
UUUGGAGGGCAAGUCUGGUGCCAGCAGCCGCGGUAAUUCCAGCUCCAAUAGCGUAUAUUAAAGUUGUUGCAGUUAAAAAGCUCGUAGUUGAAUUUCGGGACCGGUGGGUUGGUCGUGCCUCCGGUACGUACUGGUCUUACUGGUUCCUCCCUUCUGAAGAAUCACGAUGUCAUUAAUUUGGUGUCGUGGGGAAUCAGGACUGUUACUUUGAAAAAAUUAGAGUGUUUAAAGCAGGCUAAAGCUUGAAUAGAUUAGCAUGGAAUAACGAAAUAGGACGUUUGAUCUUAUUUUGUUGGUUUCUAAGAUCGACGUAAUGAUUAAUAGGGAUAGUUGGGGGCAUUAGUAUUCAAUUGUCAGAGGUGAAAUUCUUGGAUUUAUUGAAGACUAACUAYUGCGAAAGCAUUUGCCAAGGAUGUUUUCAUUAAUCAAGAACGAAAGUUAGGGGAUCGAAGAWGAUCAGAUACCGUCGUAGUCUUAACCAUAAACUAUGCCGACUAGGGAUCGGAUGAUGUUAAUUUUUUAAUGACUCAUUCGGCGCCUUACGGGAAAC